AGUGAACGCUGGCGGUAGGCCUAACACAUGCAAGUCGAACGGCAGCACAGUAAGAGCUUGCUCUUACGGGUGGCGAGUGGCGGACGGGUGAGGAAUACAUCGGAAUCUACUUUUUCGUGGGGGAUAACGUAGGGAAACUUACGCUAAUACCGCAUACGACCUACGGGUGAAAGCAGGGGAUCUUCGGACCUUGCGCGAUUGAAUGAGCCGAUGUCGGAUUAGCUAGUUGGCGGGGUAAAGGCCCACCAAGGCGACGAUCCGUAGCUGGUCUGAGAGGAUGAGCGGCAACAAUGGAACUGAGAGACGGUACAGACGCCGACGGGAGGCAGCAGUGGGGACGAGUGGACAAGGGGCGCAAGCGUGAUGCAGACCUAUCGCGUGGGUGAAGAAGGCCUGCGGGUUGUAAAGCCGUUUUGCUGGCAAAGAAAAGCAGCAGGUUAACAGCCCGCUGCGCGGACGGUACCGAAUGAAUAAGCAAAGGCGAACUUCGUG
rnacentral:rRNA from 1 species